UGGGGAAUCUUGGACAAUGGGGGCAACCCUGAUCCAGCCAUGCCGCGUGAGUGAUGAAGGCCUUAGGGUCGUAAAGCUCUUUCGCCUGUGAAGAUAAUGACGGUAGCAGGUAAAGAAACCCCGGCUAACUCCGUGCCAGCAGCCGCGGUAAUACGGAGGGGGUUAGCGUUGUUCGGAAUUACUGGGCGUAAAGCGCACGUAGGCGGACCAGAAAGUUGGGGGUGAAAUCCCGGGGGCUCAACCCCGGAACUGCCUCCAAAACUAUUGGUCUAGAGUUCGAGAGAGGUGAGUGGAAUUCCAAGUGUAGAGGUGAAAUUCGUAGAUAUUAGGUGGAACACCAGUGGCGAAGGCGCCUAACUGGUCCGGUACUGACGCUGAGGUGCGAAAGUGUGGGGAGCAAAGCAGGAUUAGAUACCCUGGUAGUCCACACCGUAAACGAUGAAUGCCAGUCG
rnacentral:rRNA from 1 species